ACGGGAGGCAGCAGUGGGGAAUAUUGGGCAAUGGGGGAAACCCUGACCCAGCAACGCCGCGUGAAGGAAGAAGGCUUUCGGGUUGUAAACUUCUUUUACCAGGGACGAAGGACGUGACGGUACCUGGAGAAAAAGCCACGGCUAACUACGUGCCAGCAGCCGCGGUAAUACGUAGGGGGCAAGCGUUAUCCGGAUUUACUGGGUGUAAAGGGAGCGUAGACGGUAUGGCAAGUCUGGUGUGAAAACCCGGGGCUCAACCCCGGGAUUGCAUUGGAAACUGUCAAACUAGAGUGCAGGAGAGGUAAGUGGAAUUCCUAGUGUAGCGGUGAAAUGCGUAGAUAUUAGGAGGAACACCAGUGGCGAAGGCGGCUUACUGGACUGUAACUGACGUUGAGGCUCGAAAGCGUGGGGAGCAAACAGGAUUAGAUACCCUGGUA
rnacentral:rRNA from 1 species